AUUUAAAUAGCUUAAGAUAAGAGCAUAAUAUUGAAGAUAUUAAGGUAACAUCCUUGUUUUUAAAUA
rnacentral:tRNA from 1 species